AACAUUUACAGCAGGCAGAGAAAUAUCACAGAAGUCCAGGGCCAAGGUGGAUGAAGAGGGCCUUGAAAUGGCUGUGUGUAGACAUGGAAUCUUGUUGCAAGGCUUGAAUCACUACCGUGGUGAAAUAUAUGCCUACCCAAUGUUCCUGCAGAAGGAGCUGCCUGGCACAAGCUGCAAAUGCGACAUUCUUUUGUAUGGACAUUUCUUGCAGGUACUGGCCUUAUUUGGAAAAGAUGGCAGAGAAGUUAUCUGAGCUUCAACCACUGACCAUGAUGAAGCCUUUUCUCUCUGUAAUGCAUGCCAAGGCUCACACUGGCAAAUGUGAGGUUAGGUGGGGCGGUAGAAGCCAGGAUGGUGCAGGAAACACUGUUGGUGAAGAGGUGGAACAGGUCAAUAGCUUCCUUUCAAGGGCAGCUCUUACUACAAAGUACAUGACCAAGUCAGGUUGGUUGAAAAAAGGGUUAACC